GACGAACGCUGGCGGCGUGCUUAACACAUGCAAGUCGAACGGAAAGGCCCUGCUUUUGUGGGGUGCUCGAGUGGCGAACGGGUGAGUAACACGUGAGUAACCUGCCCUUGACUUUGGGAUAACUUCAGGAAACUGGGGCUAAUACCGGAUAGGAGCUCCUGCUGCAUGGUGGGGGUUGGAAAGUUUCGGCGGUUGGGGAUGGACUCGCGGCUUAUCAGCUUGUUGGUGGGGUAGUGGCUUACCAAGGCUUUGACGGGUAGCCGGCCUGAGAGGGUGACCGGCCACAUUGGGACUGAGAUACGGCCCAGACUCCUACGGGAGGCAGCAGUGGGGAAUAUUGCACAAUGGGCGGAAGCCUGAUGCAGCAACGCCGCGUGCGGGAUGACGGCCUUCGGGCUGUAAACCGCUUUCGCCUGUGACGAAGCGUGAGUGACGGUAAUGGGUAAAGAAGCACCGGCUAACUACGUGCCAGCAGCCGCGGUGAUACGUAGGGUGCGAGCGUUGUCCGGAUUUAUUGGGCGUAAAGGGCUCGUAGGUGGUUGAUCGCGUCGGAAGUGUAAUCUUGGGGCUUAACCCUGAGCGUGCUUUCGAUACGGGUUGACUUGAGGAAGGUAGGGGAGAAUGGAAUUCCUGGUGGAGCGGUGGAAUGCGCAGAUAUCAGGAGGAACACCAGUGGCGAAGGCGGUUCUCUGGGCCUUUCCUGACGCUGAGGAGCGAAAGCGUGGGGAGCGAACAGGCUUAGAUACCCUGGUAGUCCACGCUGUAAACGGUGGGUACUAGGUGUGGGGUCCAUUCCACGGGUUCCGUGCCGUAGCUAACGCUUUAAGUACCCCGCCUGGGGAGUACGGCCGCAAGGCUAAAACUCAAAGGAAUUGACGGGGCCCCGCACAAGCGGCGGAGCAUGCGGAUUAAUUCGAUGCAACGCGUAGAACCUUACCUGGGUUUGACAUGGAUCGGGAGCGCUCAGAGAUGGGUGUGCCUCUUUUGGGGUCGGUUCACAGGUGGUGCAUGGCUGUCGUCAGCUCGUGUCGUGAGAUGUUGGGUUAAGUCCCGCAACGAGCGCAACCCUUGUUCACUGUUGCCAGCACGUUAUGGUGGGGACUCAGUGGAGACCGCCGGGGCCAACUCGGAGGAAGGUGGGGAUGACGUCAAGUCAUCAUGCCCCUUAUGUCCAGGGCUUCACGCAUGCUACAAUGGCUGGUACAGAGAGUGGCGAGCCUGUGAGGGUGAGCGAAUCUCGGAAAGCCGGUCUCAGUUCGGAUUGGGGUCUGCAACUCGACCUCAUGAAGUCGGAGUCGCUAGUAAUCGCAGAUCAGCAACGCUGCGGUGAAUACGUUCCCGGG
rnacentral:rRNA from 1 species